ACGGAAGGCAGCAGUGGGGAAUAUUGCACAAUGGGCGCAAGCCUGAUGCAGCCAUGCCGCGUGUAUGAAGAAGGCCUUCGGGUUGUAAAGUACUUUCAGUCGUGAGGAAGGUGUUAAGGUUAAUAACCUUAGCAAUUGACGUUAGCGACAGAAGAAGCACCGGCUAACUCCGUGCCAGCAGCCGCGGUAAUACGGAGGGUGCGAGCGUUAAUCGGAAUUACUGGGCGUAAAGGGCACGCAGGCGGUUAAUUAAGUUGGAUGUGAAAUCCCCGGGCUUAACCUGGGAAUGGCAUUCAAGACUGGUUAGCUAGAGUCUUGUAGAGGGGGUAGAAUUCCACGUGUAGCGGUGAAAUGCGUAGAGAUGUGGAGGAAUACCGGUGGCGAAGGCGGCCCCUGGACAAAGACUGACGCUCAUGUGCGAAAGCGUGGGGAGCAAAC
rnacentral:rRNA from 1 species